rnacentral:rRNA from 1 species
UGAGUACGAGCUGCUACGGCAGCGAAGUGGGUGACGUCAAGCUUCCAAGAAAAGCCCUAUACCCGUUAAGGCAUGACUGCCUGUACCCGAAACCGACACAGGUGGGGUGGUAGAGAAUGCCGAGGGGCGCGAGGUAACUCUCUCUAAGGAACUCGGCAAAAUGGCCCCGUAACUUCGGGAGAAGGGGUGCCACCGCAAGGUGGUCGCAGUGAAGAGGCCCAGGCGACUGUUUACCAAAAACACAGGUCUCCGCUAAGUCGCAAGACGAUGUAUGGGGGCUGACGCCUGCCCAGUGCCGGAAGGUUAAGGAAGCUGGUCAGCGCAAGCGAAGCUAGCGACUGAAGCCCCGGUGAACGGCGGCCGUAACUAUAACGGUCCUAAGGUAGCGAAAUUCCUUGUCGGGUAAGUUCCGACCCGCACGAAAGGCGUAACGAUCUGGGCGCUGUCUCGGAGAGAGGCUCGGCGAAAUAGAAUUGUCUGUGAAGAUGCGGACUACGUGCACCCGGACAGAAAGACCCUAUGAGGCUUUACUGUAGCUUGGUAUUGUGCCCGGGCUCUGAAUGCGCAGGAUAGGUGGGAGGCUUUGAUCCAUUGCUUGCGGGUGAUGGUGAGCCAACGGUGAGAUACCACUCUUUCAGAGCUAGGGUUCUAACGGUCACCCGUUAUCCGGGGACCGGACAGUAUCAGGUGGGCAGUUUGACUAGGGCGGUCGCCUCCUAAAAGGUAACGGAGGCGCGCAAAGGUUCCCUCAGGCUGGUUGGAAAUCAGCCGACGAGUGUAAAGGCAGAAGGGAGCUUGACUGUGAGACCAACAAGUCGAACAGGGACGAAAGUCGGCCUUAGUGAUCCGACGGUUCUGAGUGGAAGGGCCGUCGCUCAACGGAUAAAAGUUACUCUAGGAUAACAGGCUGAUCUCCCCCAAGAGUUCACAUCGACGGGGAGGUUUGGCACCUCGAUGUCGGCUCAUCGCAACCUGGGGCUGAAGUCGGUCCCAAGGGUUGGGCUGUUCGCCCAUUAAAGCGGUACGCGAGCUGGGUUCAGAACGUCGUGAGACAGUUCGGUCCAUAUCCGGUGCAUGCGCAGGAACAUUGAGAGGAUUUCUCCCUAGUACGAGAGGACCGGGAGGAACGCACCUCUGGUGUACCAGUUAUCGUGCCAACGGUAAACGCUGGGUAGCCAUGUGCGGAGCGGAUAACCGCUGAAAGCAUCUAAGUGGGAAGCCCACCUCAAGAUGAGUGUUCCCAUGGCACAAGCCAGUAAGGUCACGGGAAGAACACCCGUUGAUAGGCUCUACGUGGAAGCGCAGUAAUGCGUGAAGCGGAGGAGUACUAAUAGACCGAGGGCUUGACC